rnacentral:rRNA from 1 species
UUAUACAAGCUUGGGCUUCGCUGGCGUGUUCUGUUUUCGGUUUUCGGACGGAGCGCAACGGCUUGAGGCCAUCAGAGCGUUUGCCUUUUUUGGUGAAUGCUCUUUUGUAAACCCAUUUUUUACGAAACUGAUUAUACUGUGGGGACGAAAGUCUCUGCUUUUAACUAGAUAGCAACUUUCAGCAGUGGAUGUCUAGGCUCGCACAUCGAUGAAGAACGCUGCGAACUGCGAUACGUAAUGCGAAUUGCAGGAUUCAGUGAGUCAUCGAAAUUUUGAACGCAUAUUGCACUUUCGGGUUUUACCUGGAAGUAUGUCUGUAUCAGUGUCCGUACACUAAAGUUGCCUUUCUUGCGUCGUGUAGUCGUCGCUUGGAACGAGCAGAUGUGAGGUGUCUUGCUUGGUCGUUUCUUUAUUGGAGCAGUCCUGCAAGUCCCUUUAAAGUCGGACGUGUUUCUCUAUUGUGUGCUGUGGCAGCUUUGGUGGCGUGCGGGACGUUGUCUGUUGACGAGUCUGGCGACCUUUGGCGCUUGCAUUGUGGGGAUUCCUCGAUUGGCGGUAUGUUAGGCCUCGGCUUUGACAAUGCAGCUUAUUGUGUGUGUUCUUCUGGCUAGUGCUGUAUGGGUGAACCGGAUGGUCUUUGGACGUUGUGUUUUGCGUGUCUGUCUGGAGUUGUUUGGCGUGCUUUGGGUCGGUCACCAUUUGGGAAAUGUAAUGUUUGUUGUCUUCGUGUUUUCGGAGAAGAGCAUCUCAAUUGGACCUGAUAUCAGACAAGAUUACCCGCUG